ensembl:snoRNA F30A10.16 ncRNA
CGCCACGAGACGAACACUUACACACUACGUGACGAACACAUGCAAUUGUAUUGUUGAAGAGAGAAGAAGCAAGUUGAUCCUUUAUUCUUUUCUUUAUUUUCUUUCUCAUUUGGUUGUAGUUGUAGUUUUCUGUGUCGUACGAUAUAUUACAACCAAUUGCAAUUACUACAUUAAUCAGAAGUAUUCCCUUUUACAACUUU